rnacentral:rRNA from 1 species
UACAGAGGUCUCAAGCGUUGUUCGGAUUCAUUGGGCGUAAAGGGUGCGUAGGCGGCGCGGUAAGUCGGGUGUGAAAUCUUGGAGCUUAACUCCGAAACUGCAUUCGAUACUGCCGUGCUUGAGGACUGGAGAGGAGACUGGAAUUUACGGUGUAGCAGUGAAAUGCGUAGAUAUCGUAAGGGAGACCAGUGGCGAAGGCGGGUCUCUGGACAGUUCCUGACGCUGAGGCACGAAGGUCAGGGGAGCAAACGGG